rnacentral:rRNA from 1 species
GGACAUGGGGGCAACUCCAUCCAUCUAUGCCGCGUGAGUGAAGAAGGCCUUCGGGUUGUAAAGCUCUUUUGUCAGGGAAGAAACACCGGCUCUAACACAGUCCGGGAAUGACGGUACCUGAAGAAUAAGCACCGGCUAACUACGUGCCAGCAGCCGCGGUAAUACGUAGGGUGCGAGCGUUAAUCGGAAUUACUGGGCGUAAAGCGUGCGCAGGCGGUUAUACAAGACAGGCGUGAAAUCCCCGGGCUUAACCUGGGAAUGGCGCCUGUGACUGUAUAGCUAGAGUGUGUCAGAGGGGGGUAGAAUUCCACGUGUAGCAGUGAAAUGCGUAGAUAUGUGGAGGAAUACCAAUGGCGAAGGCAGCCCCCUGGGAUAACACUGACGCUCAUGCACGAAAGCGUGGGGAGCAAACAGGAUUAGAUACCCUGGUAGUCCACGCCCUAAACGAUGCUGACUAGUUGUUCGGGAUUUACAUCCUGAGUAACGUAGCUAACGCGUGAAGUCAGCCGCCUGNGGAGUACGGUCGCAAGAUUAAAACUCAAAGGAAUUGACGGGGACCCGCACAAGCGGUGGAUGAUGUGGAUUAAUUCGAUGCAACGCGAAAAAACUUACCUACCCUUGACUGUCAUAACGAAGUAGAGAUCCUC